GAAGCAGUGAAGCUAUGAAGAGCAGCCUCUUCAUCUCUGAGUAACUACGGCUACCCUCACCAAUCAAUCAGGAAAUCACCAAUUCACGAUCAUCAUCAAGUGAUUCAAGUCUUACUAGUUAGUAGCUAUCAAUCAAUCAGGUUAAGUGGUGACUGCCAAGGAUACCAAUUUUUUCUUCGUCUAUCAGAUUCAAUCUAAACCUUUUUGUUUCCAAGGUUGAGGUUGUCCUAUCCAAUCAAUGGCCUUAUUGGAGGGGAAAGUGCAGAUUUGUGGCCUAGGAUUGCAACUUGCAAGUGCAGGCUGUGCAGCCAUCCAUUUUCGUUUGCAAUGAUCGCAUUUCAUUUCUUGUCGACUUGUCGUAGACUGACUUAUAUGGUAGUGGAAAUGUUGUUUUUACUUUUUUAGCAAACU